AAGUCGUAACAAGGUUUCCGUAGGUGAACCUGCGGAAGGAUCAUUAUUGAAUAAACCUGAUGCAGUUGUGCUGGCUCUCUCGAGAGUAUGUGCACGCUCGUCAUCUUUAUAUUUCCACCUGUGCACCUUUUGUAGACCCAGGCGACUUGAGCAAUCGAGUCAAUUGGGCCUAUGUCUUAUCAUAUACCCCAUAGUAUGUCUCUGAAUGUAUCAAUGGGCUUUUUGAGCCUAUAAACAUUAUACAACUUUCAGCAACGGAUCUCUUGGCUCUC
rnacentral:misc_RNA from 1 species